rnacentral:misc_RNA from 1 species
AACCUAGCACACCUGCGGUGUGUACCUGCGGAAGGAUCAUUAACCUUUCAAAAAACAGGGUGCGUCGCGGCCCCCCUCCGGGGGCGGUUUGGGGUCCUCCCCUUCACGCGCGCACGACUGCAUCCUUACUUUACGAGCACCUUCUGUUCUCCCUCGGCGGGGCAACCUGCCGUUGGAACCGAAUAAACCCUUUUUUGCAUCCAGCAUUACCCGUUCCGAAACAAACAAUCGUUACAACUU